rnacentral:rRNA from 1 species
ACGAACGCUGGCGGCAUGCCUAACACAUGCAAGUCGAACGAGACCUUCGGGUCUAGUGGCGCACGGGUGCGUAACGCGUGGAAACCUGCCCUUAGGUUCGGAAUAACUCCCCGAAAGGGGUGCUAAUACCGGAUAAUGUCUUCGGACCAAAGAUUUAUCGCCUUUGGAUGGGCCCGCGUUGGAUUAGCUAGUUGGUAGGGUAAAAGCCUACCAAGGCGACGAUCCAUAGCUGGUCUGAGAGGAUGAUCAGCCACACUGGGACUGAGACACGGCCCAGACUCCUACGGGAGGCAGCAGUGGGGAAUAUUGGACAAUGGGCGAAAGCCUGAUCCAGCAAUGCCGCGUGAGUGAUGAAGGCCUUAGGGUUGUAAAGCUCUUUUACCCGGGAUGAUAAUGACAGUACCGGGAGAAUAAGCUCCGGCUAACUCCGUG